GCUUGUCUCAAAGAUUAAGCCAUGCAUGUCUAAGUAUAAACGAAUUUAUACUGUGAAACUGCGAAUGGCUCAUUACAUCAGUUAUAGUUUAUUUGAUGGUCCUUGCUACUUGGAUAACCGUAGUAAUUCUAGAGCUAAUACAUGCACAAAAUCCCGACUUACGAAGGGAUGUAUUUAUUAGAUACAAACCAACAUCGUGGUGAUUCAUAAUAACUUUGCGAAUCGUAUGCCUCACGGCGACGAUGAAUCAUUCAAAUUUCUGCCCUAUCAACUUUCGACGGUACUGUAGUGGACUACCGUGGCAUUAACGGGUGACGGAGAAUUAGGGUUCGAUUCCGGAGAGGGAGCCUGAGAAAUGGCUACCACAUCCAAGGAAGGCAGCAGG
rnacentral:rRNA from 1 species